UACGUAGGGUGCAAGCGUUGUCCGGAAUUAUUGGGCGUAAAGAGCUCGUAGGUGGCCUGUCGCGUCGGCUGUGAAAACUCGGGGCUCAACUCCGAGCUUGCAGUCGAUACGGGCAGGCUAGAGUUCGGCAGGGGAGACUGGAAUUCCUGGUGUAGCGGUGAAAUGCGCAGAUAUCAGGAGGAACACCGGUGGCGAAGGCGGGUCUCUGGGCCGAUACUGACACUGAGGAGCGAAAGCGCGGGGAGCAAACAGG
rnacentral:rRNA from 1 species